rnacentral:tRNA from 1 species
GGGUGUGUAGUUCAGUGGUAGAACGCUAUCCUGAUAAGAUAGAGGUCGGAGGUUCGAUUCCUCCCACACCCACCA